rnacentral:lncRNA from 1 species
CAUCUCCUGGAGCCUUUGAUCCAAGAGGUCCUCUCGACUGCGAGUCUUGAGGGUCUUCUGGCAGAAUGGAGGUAGGGAUCCUUCGGGGGUGGAAUCGUGAUCAGACUGAGGGCUCUCCACCCUCGGCUUCCCCUUUCCAGGGAAGACAGGGCGAUUGGCCUAAGUGGCCCACCCUAUUGUCGGAUUUUGGAACUCCGGUGACAUUCUUUCCAGUCGUACUGACACUUGCGGCUGUUGCUACUGCUAUCGCAUGGCCUGCACUACUUCGGUGAGACCUCCGACCUACUGAACUAGCAAGUCAAACUGCUCCAUGCCGACUGCCGUUGCCGGAGGAGGAGGAAGAGCCUGAAAAACUGAAGACGAGGCCAGAGCUUGUGGAGCUUGCUAAGAUCUGGCUGCAGAGGCCGUGGAUCGCCUGGUGGAUGCCUUUUGGGGAGGCAUCAGGUGGAGAUUUAGAAGGAGAAGGAGAAGAGGAUGUCAGAGAAGAUGACCGGAGAUAGUUCCGUUGAGCACUCUUUUAAGAACAAGGGUACUACAAAGACACAAUGGCCCUUCCUUUAGCAUCAAUUCUGUUGGUGUAGAAUUCCGUCGAAGCCGGAGAAGCUGGAGUUGAGAUAACCGCAGCCGCC